ensembl:lncRNA
UGCGCUGCAGAAACAAGAUGCUUUCCUCCAGCAUCGCAGCUGAUUUCUAUAAAUAUGGGCGUCACAUAGGGAGCAGCGUCACAGGAAACAUGACCAUCCACAGAGUUUCCAAGUCUGAUGAAGGACUUUACAAGUGCAAGAUCUCAGGAGGUGAAGAAUCAUCAGAGAGCUGGCUGUCUGUUUCUCUGCCAUGUCUCACAGCUUCCACACCCUGGAUAAUUGCUACUAUUUUACUGACCACUCUAAUUGUGAUUAUCGUGGUGAUGGGACUCUAUCUCUUCCGCAAAGAUUUGUACAGAGCAUAUGGUUCAGGCCCAAAAGAAGAUCCAACAGGACAGAACACAAACAAUGAAGCUGAAUUGUGUCCUAAUCCAGUUUAUCAUUCUUUGGGCCAGGGUGGCACUCAACCUCUUGCAGAAACAAUGAAAUCUGCUGUUGCAUACAAACCUUCACAAGAUAUCUACCAACCUGUGGCAGAGGAACCUUUCUAUUCUACAAUUAAAAAACAUGCGGAUCACUGAGUGAGACUGAAAACAAGGAAGUGACUUAGAAAUAUCCUGUAUUGUUUAUCAUGUAUCAUUUUGCAGUCAGUUAAAAUCUGUGUAUUGUGUAUUUGUAAGUGCUUACUGUAUUACAGGUCUCUGUAUAAUGAUACGUAAAGAAUUCACAAUGAUUAGAAAUGUGAAAACAAAUUUACUUCAGAUUUGGUGUCAAUUCACAAAUGAAACUGAAUUAAAUUGAGUUUCAAAUGUUACAGGUGAUCACAUUAGAUAAUAGCUCAUCUGGAGGUUACUUUUUUGAGCUUUCUUUCUCAGUUACAAAUGAGGCCCAGUGGAGUAAAGGUAUAAAAAAGAGACAGAAAAACAAAG